GACGAACGCUGGCGGCGUGCUUAACACAUGCCAGUCGAACGGAAAGGCCCUGCUUUUGUGGGGUGCUCGAGUGGCGAACGGGUGAGUAACACGUGAGUAACCUGCCCUUGACUUUGGGAUAACUUCAGGAAACUGGGGCUACUACCGGAUUGGAGCUCCUGCUGCAUGGUGUGGGUUGGAAAGUUUCGGCGGUUGGGGAUGGACUCGCGGCUUAUCAGCUUGUUGGUGGGGUAGUGGCUUACCAAGGCUUUGACGGGUAGCCGGCCUGAGAGGGUGACCGGCCACAUUGGGACUGAGAGACGGCCCAGACGCCUACGGGAGGCAGCAGUGGGGAAUAUUGCAGAAUGGGCGGAAGCCUGAUGCAGCAACGCCGCGUGCGGGAUGACGGCCUUCGGGUUGUAAACCGCUUUCGCCUGUGACGAAGCGGGAGUGACGGUAAUGGGUAAAGAAGCACCGGCUAACUACGUG
rnacentral:rRNA from 1 species